GGGCCCGUGGCUUAGCCUGGUUAUAGCACCGCUCUGAUACAAGACUGAGGUUCGGCCUCUUUCACUUAGUUAGGCGGGGGUCGGGAGUUCAAAUCUCCCCGGGCCCA
rnacentral:tRNA from 1 species